AAACAAACCAGCUCCUCCACUUCUUCAGCCUCUUAAGCACUGUCACAGCCUGUCCCCCCCAGGGGAAAGAACAAAUACCCUCCCCAUCUUUCCCGGCUGGAAACCCAUCUGCCAGAGAUGUGUUCGAGUUAUUUUUCAUAUUGUUCGAAUUAUUUUUCAUAGUCUCAGGGCUCUCUAUGGGUAAAAUAAUCUGGAUUUCUGUGGAGAGGUUGCCAAAGAAGUUCAAGGAUUUCCUACGUGCCUUUGUCCAUCGGAUGAACUCAGCUCUUCUCUUGGCCUUCAGAUUUCUUCACUUUUCCUGAUGUGCCCAACUGGAAUUGCAGGCCGUGCUUUUUCCCUGAAGGAUUCCUGAGGGCAUGCCAGGAGGAAACCUGUCCUGGGAGCAGGGCUGACACUUGGAUGCUGCUGCUGAGGUGAGAAUCAGAUGGCCCCUGGUUUGCUCAUAAGCCAAGAGGGCUGGGAGAGAAAAGGAUGGACACAGGGAGGAUGAAUCAGCAUUCAUGCCUGGUAGCCUUUAACCAAGUUUGGGUGUCCUGCUCUACAGGAUGAAUGUGAUUGU